rnacentral:misc_RNA from 1 species
AGAACAUACACCAAUAAGGGCAUCAUAUGCUGUCUUUCUACCUUCUUCUGUGGAAUCUUUUAAUGCGAGAAUAAUCUCAUUCAGAAUGAGAAAGGCCUGGGUGUUUUCCUCGUCAUUACCCUGUAAUGCAUCAAUCAACAAGGUUUUGUAAAAGGCAAAGCGACUUGUAAGUGUUUUUGUAUCAGUUGGAGGCUUCACCCUAGCUAACAAAUCCAUCAGCUGCUCAGCAUGUGAAGAGUGAAACCAGGAAUGUUGCUCUAAUAUUCUACUUAGAAUGUGAUAUGCUUCAAGAUGACCAGCUCCAUGAGUAGUCUCCAAAACAUCCCUAGCAAUACCAAAGAGGACUUUAAUGAGAUCCUCGCCAGAUCCUUCAACGAAGCACGAUCCCAACUCCAAGAUAAUGCACCUCUUAGCUACUUCCCCAAGAAGAGUGGAGUUAUUCUCUUUAUUGUCUGUUAAAUGAAGUCCAAGCUUCUGGUAUUCACCAAUUUCAUUUGUAAUCCCAGCUCUCUCCAUUGAAGAAGUAAAAAUCCUUUGGGUUAACGAAGAAUCUGUGAUGGACGUCAAGCACCUUAUUGCCUCCUUGAACUGCUGGUAAUUUGCAGGAGAUGCCUUAAAAAAGACAUUAAUUAGAGCCCGGAGCCAAUCCUCAGAGCAAGAUGACAAAGCCUUAAUAUU